rnacentral:rRNA from 1 species
AUUGAACGCUGGCGGCAUGCUUUACACAUGCAAGACGAACGGUAACAGGCCGCAAGGUGCUGACGAGUGGCGAACGGGUGAGUAAUGCAUCGGAACGUGCCCAGUCGUGGGGGAUAACGCAGCGAAAGCUGCGCUAAUACCGCAUACGAUCUAUGGAUGAAAGCGGGGGACCGUAAGGCCUCGCGCGAUUGGAGCGGCCGAUGUCAGAUUAGGUAGUUGGUGGGGUAAAGGCUCACCAAGCCAACGAUCUGUAGCUGGUCUGAGAGGACGACCAGCCACACUGGGACUGAGACACGGCCCAGACUCCUACGGGAGGCAGCAGUGGGGAAUCUUGGACAAUGGGCGCAAGCCUGAUCCAGCAAUGCCGCGUGCAGGAAGAAGGCCUUCGGGUUGUAAACUGCUUUUGUACGGAACGAAACGGUCCGGGUUAAUACCCUGGGCUAAUGACGGUACCGUAAGAAUAAGCACCGGCUAACUACGUGCCAGCCGCCGCAGUAA